rnacentral:misc_RNA from 1 species
GCAAACUUGGUCAUUUAGAGGAAGUAAAAGUCGUAACAAGGUUUCCGUAGGUGAACCUGCGGAAGGAUCAUUAUAGAGUGGCCUGUUCUGGUUAGAACGGUUACCCGACCUGUGUCAUAUGCUGGCGGGGGGAGGACGGGCAGCGGUUCGGUUUUCGGACCGGACUGCGAACGUCCUGCUCCCGCAACGGUAUUUCGGCGGAAGAGGUGGACGUCGAGCCACCCGCCGCCGGUGGUAUUUUACGCUCUUUUAUGAGAAACUGAACGGUCUGAGAAAUGCAAAAAAAACGAAAAGCAAAACUUUCAACAACGGAUCUCUUGGCUCUGGCAUCGAUGAAGAACGCAGC